rnacentral:rRNA from 1 species
GACGAACGCUGGCGGCGUGCUUAACACAUGCAAGUCGAACGGAAAGGCCCUGCUUUUGUGGGGUGCUCGAGUGGCGAACGGGUGAGUAACACGUGAGUAACCUGCCCUUGACUUUGGGAUAACUUCAGGAAACUGGGGCUAAUACCGGAUAGGAGCUCCUGCUGCAUGGUGGGGGUUGGAAAGUUUCGGCGGUUGGGGAUGGACUCGCGGCUUAUCAGCUUGUUGGUGGGGUAGUGGCUUACCAAGGCUUUGACGGGUAGCCGGCCUGAGAGGGUGACCGGCCACAUUGGGACUGAGAUACGGCCCAGACUCCUACGGGAGACAGCAGGGGGGAAUAUUGCACAAUGGGCGGAAGCCUGAUGCAGCAACGCCGCGUGCGGGAUGACGGCCUUCGGGUUGUAAACCGCUUUCGCCUGUGACGAAGCGUGAGUGACGGUAAUGGGUAAAGAAGCACCGGCUAACUACGUG